rnacentral:lncRNA from 1 species
AUGCCGUGGAGGUGUCGCGUCGCUCGGUUGGCGUCUUGUCACGCGAUCAAGGGACGUGGGAUGUUACUGCGUGGUACUUAGUGGUGUUCCUGUGGGCUGGCACGAUAUGGCAUAAAUCAUACCGUUUGAAGUUAUUCAGCAUGCCACUAGCAAAGAUGGCAUGUUUAUACUGGUGAAGUUUAGUGGCUUCAGAGUUCCUACAUGGGUUUCGAGAGAAAGAGUGCCUCUGAGCCUAAUCCGGUCAUAUUUUGAGAAAG